rnacentral:rRNA from 1 species
GACGAACGCUGGCGGCGUGCCUAAUACAUGCAAGUCGAGCGGACGGAUGGGAGCUUGCUCCCAGACCGUCAGCGGCGGACGGGUGAGUAACACGUGGGCAACCUGCCUGUAAGACUGGGAUAACUCCGGGAAACCGGGGCUAAUACCGGAUAACUCUUUCCCUCACAUGAGGGAAAGCUGAAAGAUGGCAUCUCGCUAUCACUUACAGAUGGGCCCGCGGCGCAUUAGCUAGUUGGUGAGGUAACGGCUCACCAAGGCGACGAUGCGUAGCCGACCUGAGAGGGUGAUCGGCCACACUGGAACUGAGACACGGACAAUACUCCUAAGGGAGGCAGCAGUAGGGAAUCUUCCGCAAUGGACGAAAGUCUGACGGAGCAACGCCGCGUGAGUGAUGAAGGUUUUCGGAUCGUAAAACUCUGUUGUCAGGGAAGAACAAGUACCGGAGUAACUGCCGGUACCUUGACGGUACCUGACCAGAAAGCCACGGCUAACUACGUG